GACGAACGCUGGCGGCGUGCUUAACACAUGCAAGUCGAGCGGUAAGGCCCUUUCGGGGGUACACGAGCGGCGAACGGGUGAGUAACACGUGGGUGACCUGCCCUCAGCGUCUGGGAUAAGCCUGGGAAACCGGGUCGUAAUACCGGAUAUCGACUUCCAAUGACGCAUGUUAGUGGGGUGGAAAGCCUUGUGCCGGCUGAGGAUGGGGCCCGCGGCCUAUCAGCUUGUUGGUGGGGUGAUGGCCUACCAAGGCGACGACGGUAGCCGGCCUGAGAGGGCGACC
rnacentral:rRNA from 1 species